AGCGAACGCUGGCGGCGUGCUUAACACAUGCAAGUCGAACGCGCAGCAUUCUGUAGCAAUACAGGGUGUGGGCGCGUGGCGAACGGGUGCGUAACACGUGGAUAACCUUCCUUCAGGUGGGGAAUAACCCAGUGAAAAUUGGGCUAAUACCGCAUAACAUUACGGGGGCACAUGCUCUUGUAUUCAAAGGCGCAAGUCGCCGGAAGAGGGAUCCGCGGCCGAUUAGCUUGUUGGCGAGGUAAUGGCUCACCAAGGCAUUGAUCGGUAGCCGGACUGAGAGGUUGGCCGGCCACACUGGAACUGAGACACGGUCCAGAUUCCUACGGGAGGCAGCAGUGGGGAAUCUUGCGCAAUGGACGAAAGUCUGACGCAGCAACGCCGCGUGGGGGAUGAAGCUUCUCGGAGUGUAAACCCCUUUCGACCCGGACGAAUGCCCGCAAGGGUUUGACGGUACGGGUAUAAGAAGCCCCGGCUAACUACGUGCCAGCAGCCGCGGUAAAACGUAGGGGGCCAGCGUUGCUCGGAAUUACUGGGCGUAAAGGGUCCGUAGGCGGUGUGACAAGUCGGUAGUGAAAUCUCUGGGCUUAACCCAGAGGCUGCUGCCGAAACUGUUGUGCUAGAGUGUGAGAGAGGCGAGUGGAAUUACGGGUGUAGCGGUGAAAUGCGUAGAUAUCCGUAGGAACAUCCGAGGCGAAAGCGGCUCGCUGGAUCACAACUGACGCUGAGGGACGAAAGCUAGGGGAGCAAACAGGAUUAGAUACCCUGGUGGUCCUAGCCCUAAACCAUCAGGACUUGGGGUUUGCCCUGUACGGGGCAAGUCCCGUAGCUAAUCGCGUUAAGUCCUGCGCCUGGGGAGUACGGUCGCAAGGCUG
rnacentral:rRNA from 1 species